CCUGCCCAGUGACCACUUUAAACGGCCGCGGUAUCCUAACCGUGCAAAGGUAGCAUAAUCACUUGUCUUCUAAAUAAGGACUAGAAUGAACGGCUACAUGAGGACUGACCUGUCUCUUGCAUUCAAUCAAUGAAAUUGAUCUUUCAGUCCAAAAGCUGAAAUAACCACAUAAGACGAGAAGACCCUGUGGAGCUUACUAAACUAAGCCCACCGCCAUGAACACUUAGUUUUCAGUUGGGGCGACUUUGGAGCACAAAAACCCCUCCAAAUAACUUAACCAGAUUAACAUAUCGACACCUCCUUUGACCCAGUAGUUUUAACCCCCCCCUACCUGAUCAAUGAACCAAGUUACCCCAGGGAUAACAGCGCCAUCCCCUUCAAGAGUCCCCAUCGACAAGGGGGUUUACGACCUCGAUGUUGGAUCAGGACACCCAAAUAGUGCAUCCGCUAUU
rnacentral:rRNA from 1 species